rnacentral:SRP_RNA from 1 species
GCCAGGCGCAGUGGCACAUGCCUGUAGUCCCAGCUACUUGGGAGGCUGAGGCUGGAGGAUCGCUUGAGCCGAGGAGUUCUGGGCUGUAGUGUGCUAUGGUGAUCGGGUGUCUGCACCAAGUUCAGCAUCAAUAUGGUGACAUCCGGGGAGCGGGGGACCACCAGGUUGCCUAGGGAGGGGUGAACCGACCCAGGUUGGAAAUGGAGCAUGUCAAAACUCCAUGCUGAUCAGUAGUGGGAUUGUGCCUGUGAAUAGCCACUGCACUCCAGCCUGGGCAACAUAGCGAGACCCCGUCUCA